AGAUUGAACGCUGGCGGCAUGCCUAACACAUGCAAGUCGAACGGCAGCGCGGGUAGCAAUACCUGGCGGCGAGUGGCGGACGGGUGAGGAAUACAUAGGAAUCUACCCUGUCGUGGGGGAUAACGUAGGGAAACUUACGCUAAUACCGCAUACGACCGAGAGGUGAAAGCGACGGACCGCAAGGCGUCGCGCGGCUGGAUGAGCCUAUGUCCGAUUAGCUAGUUGGCGGGUAAGAGCCCACCAAGGCGACGAGUCGGUAGCUGGUCUGAGGAGGAUGAUCAGCCACACUGGGACUGAGACACGGACCCAGACUCCCUAACGGGAGGCAGCGAGGUAGGGAAUUAGUUAGGACAAAGUAGGGCGACGAACGCCGU
rnacentral:rRNA from 1 species